AAGUUUUAAGAAUCAGAAACUGAAAAAGGCAUUGAUAAUCAGCAGAUAACAAAAAAGCGCAAAAGUACUGAUUAUACAACUCUUUUAAAGUUGAGGAAGAGUUUUAUGUUAAUGUCAAUGCAAAAGUUAAACCAUCACCACUUCCACAGCCACCUUGUCUCAAGCAUUCAAUUACAUUCUUAGAUAUCUUUAUUCAAAUCAAGUGUGACUACUUUACCAAAAAACUCUAGAAUGGACCAAUCAACUAACCCAUCAGUACUUGCAAAGUCUCCUUUUCUGUAAGCCUGAAAAUUGAGUUCUAAAAUACCAUUAUCCACAUAACUACUAUAUCAAAGCACUAACUAAUGGAUUGAUCAAGUAAUACUUAAUUUUUACCUUGAAUU